CCAUGUCCCUCCGGCCCCCAGAUCUCUCAGACUUGUUCUCCCCUGUGCACCCCUCCUGGGGGCCCUGUUUCAUCCUCUUCCGGAACCGGGGCAUCAACUUGGGUUCCCUCCUCACCCUCAGUGCCUCCACCCAGCCCCAGUGCCAUGGCAGGGUCGGGACCCUCAAGCUCUCAGGGCUGGUCCAGGAAGAGCCUCUGUCCAGGUGACCUGGGCACAGGGGGAGCAUGGCAGUGGCGGGGGCAGGUGGGAAGGGAUUGGCUUAAAAUGCAGCAUUCACUUAAAAACACAAAGAACAUUUGUUCACCAUGAAGUCAGGUCCUGCUCUGGUUGGUCUGUUUUUGGUUUUUACCUGGUUUUUUGGUAAUUACCUGGUUUGCUUUGAGCUGCUUCCAGGCAUCAGCCAGCCCCAUAUCCUGGUGGGGUUUCCUGGGGCCCCAUUUAUGCUCCCUUGGAAGUACCAGAGGGUCUUCUUUUCUCUUAAAGAAACAAAUAUUUGCACAGUUCAGCGCUGGGAAGGCCUCUGGCCGAGGUGGCCCGCGCACCCUGAGCCAUGAGGGGUCAGGGCUGGGCAGAGGGGAGGGGGUGGAUGAACGGCUUCUGCAGAGACAGUCUUGGCUCCACAAUCUCCUCAGCUCAGGAGUGUGGAUGUGCCAUCCUGGAGCAGGUGCCUGUCUCUCCAUGGUCCUGGCUGGGUGCCGUGGGUUCCGGACGGCAGGGCACCUGCCCAUCCAGGGCUCCGGAGCAGCGAGGCUAGGCUGGGCCUUCAGCUCUGUCCUUGCUGGGCAGCGAUUUCCUCUUCUGGACAAUGGGGAGAGCUGUCCCUCGUCCUGGAGGGUGAAGUGGGUGGUGUGCGUGAUGAUCCCCGGUGCCCAGCACAUGGUGGGCUCAGUGAAGCCAGACUUUUCUAGUUCUUCUUUAGUUCCCUAGACCUAAGCUCUCAGCUCGUGCUGUGUCAGGGCUGUGUUGAGGGAGGGAAGUCAGGUGUAGACUGAAGCUCUUAAGACUCUUAAGAGCUUCUACGGUCCAGGGUGUCACCUACGGUCCAGCAGGUGACUGAUGGUCUAGCAGACGAUUAGGCCAGUAGAGAGGCAGAGAAAGUGCGGGGGACUCAGAGGAAGGGAAGUGCUUCCAUCUGGGCCAGGGGUGGUUAGGGAAGACUUCCCGGAAGAGGAGGUGCUUAGGGGAACCUGGAAGGGCAGAGAGAACCAGAGAUGCAGGGGUGAGGGUCCUUCUGGCAGGUGUCUGUUUCAGGGGAUGUCUGUGUUCGGUGAGGCCAGGGCUGAGCUCUACUGUUGGCUGAGCUGUGGGGGCGGCCAGGCAGGGCCCAGCAUGCCAGGCUGAGGAUGGGGCCAAGGGGGGCACGGCAUGCUGGCCCCCCUGCUUGGUGUUCACUCUUGGGGACUGGACAGUGGUCCUUUCAACGAGCCCCCUCGCAGUCCCUGCCCUGGGGUCUCUCCAUAGACCACUCUGCACACGCAGACCCUCCUGCUAGCGGACCGGGCCACAGCGAGGAGUGAAGACCCUGUGCAGAGUUCUCGUGCGGCCAAGGACAGCAGCCCACCUGAGACAGGUGCCCUGUAGUAGUGGCGGGAGUCAGAGACACCCCAGGGACAGCAGCAGGGGCUGCUUGCGGUUUGGAAGUCCCACCUGUGCCCAGACCACCAGCAGGGUCUCUCCUUCCCAAACCACCCCCUUUCCAAUUCUGGGGGCGUCAGAGACUGCUGGGGGCAUGGGGUGAGGCAGGGAAGGGUGGUGCGGGAGGCUGAGUGGGAGGGAGAGGGUGGGAUGAGGCCCUGCAUGCUGGACAGGACUCUGAUGCAUCACCCAUCCCAGGGAAUCUGAGUCUGAAACACAGAAAGGACCCACAGCCAUUGGGUGUCCCCGGGCCUUAGCUUGCUGGGCCCAGGGCAGGCCGGGCUGCUUCUUGCCCGGGGAACUCAGCAGACCCCUGGAUCGCUCCGGGGUGGGUGAGAGGCUGUGGAGGGAACCCUGUCCUGGCCGGCUGACCUCACAGCCCUCUCCUGCAGACGGGGCAGUCGAGGAGUAAAAGAAUGAAAAGCAGUCAAACAGCCCCAGGAGACGCAGACCUGUGGGAUGGAUCCGUGGUGUCUGCACCUGCACCUACAUACAAGGAUGGCAUAGUCCUCCGGACCAAACACAUUCGAUGAGGACACGCUUUUCAGUGAGAGAACAGCAGCAGCAGGAACAAGCAUCCGUUAUGCAGACCUGCCUGUCCCCGAUUCUCCCAGACACGGAGCGGCAGAGGUGUCCUUCUCUUUCUGGCAAGGUUUCAGGGUAGAGGCACGGUGCUCGGGGUCCCACGGCUGGUGGGUGGCCCCUGUGCUUCUCGCUUUGGGAUUUGCUGUCCCCGAGCUGCCCAUCAUCGUUUUCUGGGUACCUGAGAUGCAGUGUGGUGAGUUGGGCGUGGCCUGGACACAGGCUGAGCAGGUCAGGGCACUGGGAGCUGGCCUGGCACCGGCUGCUGGGCUGGUGACCAACCAACGCAGAACCCUCAGGAAAGAGGUGGGGAGCUGUGCACCAGCUGUCUCGGGGUGAUUUGUGGGGAAGCCGAUGUGUGGCUGCGUCCUGAAUCACACUGGGGGUGUUGCACACGCCCACCAACAGCCUUGUUCCUAAAUUAUCUUUUAUGAUCGCCAGCAAAUCUGCGGGUAGGGGGCAUUUGUACCCAAACGAAGCCGUUAUUUGUGGUGGCAGACAUGGCAUUAAUUAUUGACGCGCCCGGCCACCUCCAGUUAAAAUUCAUGGUCCAGCCACUCUGCAAAUAUUGAUUCUGUCCCAAGUUGAUGUUUUCCCCUUAACAUUAUUAUAAUGAGGGAUAAAAAUCAAAUUGCCUUCACUGAAACUCAAUCAUUCUUCCGUGCCAUUCCUCAUUGAUCUUUCUUUCCCCAGGUUUUACCAUAAAUUAUUCUAUUCAAUUAAGUAAACUCACACAUAAUGGCAUUCUGCAAACUGAAUAAUUUAUUGACUAUGUUUGGCAAAAGGCUGGUUUGGAGUGGGCUGGGGAAGGGAGGGGGCUU
rnacentral:lncRNA from 10 species